UCUUUAUUGAUCGAUUCCACCUUAUAAUCAAUAUGUUUCAGUAAACAGACUCUUUAGUAUUCUGUGAUGAUGUCACUGAUGAUGUCACCGGUUGGAGGGGCGGUACCAGUCUCUCCCGGCUCCUGUCAAUCACGGCCUGACGUCAUGUGUCCAGAGCGUUUCCGGUGCAGGAAGGCGGGGCCUCGGUGUUCCUGUGGGAGAGACAGACAGUGUCCAGCCCGCUGUGGACGAUCCGUUCUGGAAUCAGCCAUAUUCCCAAAGAGCAGCCACACCGGCAGACAGCCCCAAACUACCGAAAACCCGUUCUCCGACCGGCGAACACGGUGCUAACGGCCGCUGCGGUCCGACCCGAGUCCGGCCCGGAGCUCCCGGUCAUGUUACCGAGUUGAUACACCGAGCUGAGGACCACCGGACGGAGUCGACGGUUCCUGAGAGGAAAGUCCAGAUUUACCGGGAUUAACUGCCGAUGUAGAGGACGGACGGACCGACGGCUCUCAACAGGACGGAGCGACGGUAACCGGCGGACACUCACCGACACACACCGACACACCGACCGCCUCUCUGCGCUGAAUGUCGGGAAUGUUCUCCCGGAGCUAACGACCUAGCCGCGGUGAGCUCGGCAGCACUCGGCGGCACUCGGCGGCACUCGGAGGCUGGGCGGAGGGAUACGCUGUGUGGCGGGUAAGAACUAACGAUACUCACGAUCCGAUAUCGAUCACGAUUUAUCAAUAAAAAUAGAUUUAAGAGUAAUUAUUACUGAAACAGACAAAAUAUACCUAAUUUAUAUUCAUUGUAUUAAAUUUCUGACGUAUAAACUUACUUAAGCGUGAAACUGAUAACUAUUAAUAUACUUUAUUGAUCCAGGGGAUACAUUUUUUAACAGUUCUGGGAUAUACAUGAAAGCAUAUGUCACUUCCUGUCUUCAGAACGGUCACGCCCCUUUUAAAAGUUCCCAGUGUCCGCCAUCUCUCUCCAUUGGGAGCCGCUGUAUAUGGGCAGGAACCAACUGAACACCUCUCGCGUUUGUACAGGCCAUUUAUAGUAGAACCUACAGUACAGUCUCUUUCUAGAUCCAGUGUUGGGUUUGUCCAUUCUGGGCUACUGUAGAAACAUGGUGGUUCAACAUGGCGGACUCCGCCAGCAGAGGAACUUCUGUAGACAGUCAGUGAGUGUGUCUGUGUCCAACUCUUCCUCACAGGUUAGUUAAUGACAGACAGUCAGUGAGUGUGUCUGUGUCCAACUCUUCCUCACAGGUUAGUUAAUGACAGACAGUCAGUGAGUGUGUGUGUGUCCAACUCUUCCUCACAGGUUAGUUAAUGACAGACAGUCAGUGAGUGUGUCUGUGUCCAACUCUUCCUCACAGGUUAGUUAAUGACAGACAGUCAGUGAGUGUGUCUGUGUCCAACUCUUCCUCACAGGUUAGUUAAUGACAGACAGUCAGUGAGUGUGUCUGUGUCCAACUCUUCCUCACAGGUUAGUUAAUGACAGACAGUCAGUGAGUGUGUCUGUGUCCAACUCUUCCUCACAGGUUAGUUAAUGACAGACAGUCAGUGAGUGUGUGUCUGUGUCCAACUCUUCCUCACAGGUUAGUUAAUGAUGUUACUGAGUCAAUGUGAGCAGAUUGUGUCUGUAGACUGAAGAGAAUCAGAGUCUCACUGAUGGUGGAAAUAAAGGUUUUACUUCCUUAAAACAGCCGUUUUUUGAAUGGAGUUUGGUGUGACAGUGU
rnacentral:lncRNA from 15 species